rnacentral:rRNA from 1 species
UACGGAGGGGGCUAGCGUUGUUCGGAAUUACUGGGCGUAAAGCGUGCGUAGACGGCUGCGUAAGUCAGAUGUGAAAGCCCCGGGCUCAACCUGGGAAUUGCAUUUGAGACUGCGUAGCUAGGGUGCGGAAGAGGGAAGCGGAAUUUCCGGUGUAGCGGUGAAAUGCGUAGAUAUCGGAAGGAACACCAGUGGCGAAAGCGGCUUCCUGGUCCAGCACCGACGUUCAGGCACGAAAGCGUGGGGAGCAAACAGG